UCCUUCUGUCCACGUAGUAAUAAAUACUGAUAUUACAACAUCUUGGAUGUACUGAUUUCUCAUUGGAUUCACUUCAUCAGGUUUCACAAGAAUAUUCUUGUUUUAUUUUUCCAAUCAUUGUGGGCUUGCACUCUUCAAAACAAGCCAGAAAUCCAAAGCUAAAACCAACUAAAACAAUGUAAGACUCUUCAGGCAGGUGAUGUAGCAGAAUUAUGAUGCAUCAUCAGGCAGAACACUACAAAAACUAGUAGUACAAUAAGACAACAAGGCCUCAAUAUUUUGGUAUCACUUCUCGUGCCAUGGAAGUGCAGCCAUCACUCAGGAUGCAGAAGCUGUUUCCUAUUUCAGAGCAGUAUUAAACAUUGUACAAAUAGGAAGAUGAAGGAAUACCACAUCCAACAAAACUGCAGAGGACAUUUAUCAACUGAGAUGAGGAACUGAUAUUGGAUCCUAAGAUCACAAGGGAAGUGUGUGGCAGAGGAACAGAGCUGAGAUCUCCUGAACUCUGCCUAAUCCGGUAGCAAGGUCAUCUUUCCUUGCUCAAAAAUAGGCAAGAAGUUGGACAUCGCUGUGAGGCAGACAUCUUUGAGAUGCUGAGGGAUAUUUUGGUGGCAGUAUUUGUCCUAUUGAAGACACUUCCCAGAUGGAGGUACAGAGAUGGACAGCCAGGACCCAGCGGAUGCUUCUCAUGCCUGUUGAGAUAACUGCAGAUUCCCCAUAUGUAGAUUGGUGCUUCUGGAGCAGGGCCAUGAUCCCAGACCAGUGGACUCACAUUGUCAUGCAGACUUGGGAUGACCGUCAGUGGCUGCAGAACUUUCACAUGAAGAGCUGGUGACAGGAGAUCAUCCAUAGUUUUGAACUGAGAUUGGGAGAAGUUUCCAUGCUGAGCUGAACUAUUCACCCACCUUGUCUGUUUGGUUGGAAAUGGCAUAAAAUCAGUUCUCUUGGGUAUUUUCUUCUGUUCCCAGCCUGAACCAGGAAUCUUGACGUAAUGAAAAGUAGUGAGGAAAUAAAAAGGACCCAUUCUCUAGGUUGUUGAGAGCUUCCUGUGAGCCUCUGAGCUUCAACUCCCAUGAAUAUGGAGUCUGAGUCUGAGAUGGCCUUGCAGGUCACUGGCACCUCACAAGAUCAGGCCUACUAACAAGACAUACCACAAGCAUAAGGAAAGAAGAAGACAGCUUCUUGAAACUAGUAGCUGAAAACAAAGGUGCAAACCUGUUUGGCUGACACAUUCUUCUGAGGUCCCUAGAAGCCACACAUAUCUAUGUUGGCAAGAAGGAGAUCUGAAAGGCAGAUACAUUUCUCAUUCCUAUCCACUUGACUGGUACUGCAACUGUAAGACGUAGGGGAGGACAGUUGUCAGGGAGCUGUUUAGGAGGAGCAGACAGACAGACAGGCACUUGGGGAUCUGAAGAAGCUAG